GGUGGCAAUGAUUUACACUGCAAUUGAUAACUUCUACCUAACUGACGAGCAGUUACAGAACUCACCAUCUAGGAAAGAUGGAAUAGACGAAGCCACUGAAACUACCCUCAGAAUCUAUGGCUGUGAUCUGAUCCAAGAAAGCGGAAUUUUACUCAAAUUACCUCAAGCUGUGAUGGCCACUGGUCAAGUUCUAUUCCAUCGUUUCUAUUGCAAGAAGUCAUUUGCCCGAUUUGAUGUCAAGAAAGUUGCAGCUAGUUG
rnacentral:misc_RNA from 1 species